AGCGAACGCUGGCGGCAGGCUUAACACAUGCAAGUCGAGCGGGCACUUUCGGGUGUCAGCGGCGGACGGGUGAGUAACGCGUGGGAACGUGCCCUCUGGUUCGGAAUAACUCAGGGAAACUUGAGCUAAUACCGGAUACGCCCUUUUGGGGAAAGGCUUGCUGCCGGAGGAUCGGCCCGCGUCUGAUUAGCUAGUUGGUGAGGUAACGGCUCACUAAGGCGACGAUCAGUAGCUGGUCUGAGAGGAUGAUCAGCCACACUGGGACUGAGACACGGCCCAGACUCCUACGGGAGGCAGCAGUGGGGAAUAUUGGACAAUGGGCGCAAGCCUGAUCCAGCCAUGCCGCGUGAGUGAUGAAGGCCUUAGGGUUGUAAAGCUCUUUUAUCCGGGACGAUAAUGACGGUACCGGAGGAAUAAGCCCCGGCUAACUUCGUG
rnacentral:rRNA from 1 species